rnacentral:rRNA from 1 species
GAUGUGAAAGCCCCCGGCUCAACCGGGGAGGGUCAUUGGAAACUGGGGAACUUGAGUCAUCCUCUGACAAUCCUAGAGAUAGGACGUCCCCUUCGGGGGCAGAGUGACAGGUGGUGCAUGGUUGUCGUCAGCUCGUGUCGUGAGAUGUUGGGUUAAGUCCCGCAACGAGCGCAACCCUUGAUCUUAGUUGCCAGCAUUCAGUUGGGCACUCUAAGGUGACUGCCGGUGACAAACCGGAGGAAGGUGGGGAUGACGUCAAAUCAUCAUGCCCCUUAUGACCUGGGCUACACACGUGCUACAAUGGACAGAACAAAGGGCAGCGAAACCGCGAGGUUAAGCCAAUCCCACAAAUCUGUUCUCAGUUCGGAUCGCAGUCUGCAACUCGACUGCGUGAAGCUGGAAUCGCUAGUAAUCGCGGAUCAGCAUGCCGCGGUGAAUACGUUCCCGGGCCUUGUACACACC